rnacentral:rRNA from 1 species
AACGAACGCUGGCGGCAGGCUUAACACAUGCAAGUCGAACGGUUGUAGCAAUACAGCAGUGGCAGACGGGUGAGUAACACGUGGGAACCUUCCUAGGGGUACGGAACAACUCAGGGAAACUUGAGCUAAUACCGUAUACGUCCGUGAGGAGAAAGAUUUAUCGCCCUUAGACGGGCCCGCGUAGGAUUAGGUAGUUGGUGGGGUAAUGGCCUACCAAGCCUACGAUCCUUAGCUGAUCUGAGAGGAUGAUCAGCCACACUGGGACUGAGACACGGCCCAGACUCCUACGGGAGGCAGCAGUGGGGAAUCUUGGACAACGGGCGCAAGCCUGAUCCAGCCAUGCCGCGUGAGUGAAGAAGGCC